rnacentral:misc_RNA from 1 species
GAAAUGCGAUAAUUAAUGUGAAUUGCAGAAUUCAGUGAAUCAUCGAGUCUUUGAACGAACAUUGCGCCCCCUGGUAUUCCGGGGGGCAUGCCUGUCCGAGCGUCAUUGCUGCCCUCAAGCACGGCUUGUGUGUUGGGCUUCCGUCCCUGGCAACGGGGACGGGCCCAAAAGGCAGUGGCGGCACCAUGUCUGGUCCUCGAGCGUAUGGGGCUUUGUCACCCGCUCCCGUAGGUCCAGCUGGCAGCUAGCCUCGCAACCAAUCUUUUUAACCAGGUUGACCUCGGAUCAGGUAGGGAUACCCGCUGAACUUAAGC